rnacentral:rRNA from 1 species
UACGUAGGGCGCAAGCGUUGUCCGGAAUUACUGGGCGUAAAGCGCGCGUAGACGGUUUUGUAAGUCAGAUGUGAAAUCCCUGGGCUCAACCUGGGAACUGCAUUUGAGACUGCAUGGCUAGAGUAUCGAAGAGGGAAGUGGAAUUUCCGGUGUAGCGGUGAAAUGCGUAGAUAUCGGAAGGAACACCAGUGGCGAAAGCGACUUCCUGGUCGAAUACUGACGCUGAGACGCGAAAGCGUGGGGAGCAAACAGG